AACGCAUCUUGCGCUCCUUGGUAUUCCAAGGAGCAUGCCUGUUUGAGUGUCAUUAAAUUCUCACCUUUUGCUGGCUUUGCUUUUAUAAGGCUUGACACAAAAGUGUGGAUGUGGAGGAUUAUCUUUGCAGGUUUUUUUGAGAGCCAGCUCCUCUGAAAAGCAUUAGUAGCGCCCUCUGGUGGCUGACUUUUGGCAUGAUAACUAUCACUGUCAUCAGUUGCCACACAUGUAUGUUGGCAAUGCUGCUUAUAACUGUCUAAAUAGACAAGUAAAUGACAAAUUUGGCCUCAAAUCAGGUAGGACUACCCGCUGAACUUAA
rnacentral:misc_RNA from 1 species